rnacentral:rRNA from 1 species
ACUCCUACGGGAGGCAGCAGUGGGGAAUAUUGCGCAAUGGGCGAAAGCCUGACGCAGCAACGCCGCGUGCGGGAUGAAGGCCUUCGGGUUGUAAACCGCUUUCAGCAGGGAAGAAGCGAAAGUGACGGUACCUGCAGAAGAAGCACCGGCUAACUACGUGCCAGCAGCCGCGGUAAUAC